UGGAAUGUGGCUCAGUCAGUAGAGUGCUUGCCUGUCAUGUAUGAAACCUUGGGUUUAAUUCUCAGCACUACAU
rnacentral:tRNA from 1 species